UACGAAGGGGGGCUAGCGUUGCUCGGAAUCACUGGGCGUAAAGCGCACGUAGGCGGCUUUCUAAGUCAGGGGGUGAAAUCCUGGAGCUCAACUCCAGAACUGCCUUUGAUACUGGGAAGCUCGAGUCCGGAAGAGGUGAGUGGAACUCCGAGUGUAGAGGUGAAAUGCGCAGAUACAGAGGAAGAACCAAGCCAUAGGGCAAGG
rnacentral:rRNA from 1 species